CUGCUAGCCCUCCCCCCCAACACCAAUCUAUAUCUUCAGUACACAACUGCACGCAGUAUUCCACAAUGACUCUCAUCAGUCUCAGGGCAAGCAGGCUAGGCUUGGUGCUGAUGCUGUGCUUCGCCUCUCUCCUCCUCCUCUCGUCGUCAACCCACGGAGCGCAUGCAGGAGGGAGGAGGAUGAUGUCCACAGGCACAAUCAUCUGUGGCCAGUGGUCUUGCCAGGUGUGGCCGAGGCCGAGGCCCCCGACGACGAUCCCACCAUCAUACGGCCCGCCGCGACCACCAUCAUACGGUGGCCCGCCGCGAACGCCGUAGUUUCCUGCACCGGCGGAUCGUCGGAGAGUGCCUGCGUCAUGCGUAUAUGCACGUACCUAUACAAGUAAAUAAAAUGAUCGGAAAUCAGCAUUAUAUUGUGCUUGUUUCAAUGCACACACACACACCCGUGCGCGCUUGGCAGCAGAUUGGCCUAUGCUAUUGUAACCAAAUCAUUAUAUAUACUAGCUAGCAUAUACGUAUCCGCGUCUUGCAACAAAGAGAACAUUUAUAAUAAUAUACGUGAUGUUUGUGCCUGUGAUAAUGAGCUAA